rnacentral:rRNA from 1 species
GACUACAGGAUUCCCCUAGUACUGCGAGUGAAGCGGGAAAAGCUCAAAUUUUGAAUCUGGCGGUCCGAGAGGGCCGUCCGAGUUGUAAUCUAGAGAAGCGUCUUCCGCGCUGGACCGUGUAUAAGUUUCCUGGAAUGGAACGUCGCAGAGGGUGACAAUCCCGUCUUUGACACGGACUCCCAGGGCUUAUGUGAUGCGCUCUCGACGAGUCGAGUUGUUUGGGAAUGCAGCUCAAAUAGGGUGGUAAAUUCCAUCUAAAGCUAAAUAUUGGCGAGAGACCGAUAGCGAACAAGUACCGUGAGGGAAAGAUGAAAAGAACUUUGGAAAGAGAGUUAAACAGUACGUGAAAUUGCUGAAAGGGAAACGUUUGAGGUCAGUCGCGUCGACCGGGGGUCAGCCUUGCUUUCAUCGCUCGGCGUACUUCCUGGUCUGACGGGUCAGCAUCGGUUUCGAUCGUCGGAAAAGGGCUCGAGUAAUGUGGCACUCUUCGGGGUGCGUUAUAGACUUGGGCCAUCUUAAUACGAUGGUUGGGACCGAGGAACUCAGCACGGCCUUAGGGUUCGGGGCCCCUUAUGGGGCCCACGUUUAGCGUGCUUAGGAUGCUGGCAUAAUGGCCUUAACCGACCCGUCUUGAAACACGGACCAAGGAGUCUAACGCGCUCGCGAGUGUUUGGGCGAUUAAAACCCGGACGCGAAAUCAAAGUGAAAGUCGAGACCUCUGUCGUGGAGGGCACCGACGCCCGGACCUGAGCUUCUGCAAAGGAUCUGCGGUAGAGCGCGYGCGUUGGGACCCGAAAGAUGGUGAACUAUGCCUGAAUAGGGCGAAGCCAGAGGAAACUCUGGUGGAGGCUCGUAGCGAUUCUGACGUGCAAAUCGAUCGUCGAAUUUGGGUAUAGGGGCGGAAAGACUAAUCGAACCAUCUAUAACU